rnacentral:misc_RNA from 1 species
AUAAGUGUCAUCUAUCCUACACAGCCUUUCCCAAAGAGGCUGUUUCCAGAACUCGAAAGUGUUUAUUGUAAAUAGCUUUUUGAAAUUUCCCGUACUGUACACAAUUUGAAUGGGCACUUUGAGUUAACAAGUUUUAAAUACAUUGAUAAUUUUCUGCAAUCCAUACUGAACUUACUCCUUAUAUGCCAUUCUAUCAUUUCAAAUUUAAAUUUUAUACCACAUUUG